CGAGUGAAGCGGCAACAGCUCAAAUUUGAAAUCUGGCUCUUUCAGAGUCCGAGUUGUAAUUUGCAGAGGGCGCUUUGGAGUUGGCAGCGGUCCAAGUUCCUUGGAACAGGACGUCACAGAGGGUGAGAAUCCCGUACGUGGUCGCUAGCCUUCGCCGUGUAAAGCCCCUUCGACGAGUCGAGUUGUUUGGGAAUGCAGCUCUAAAUGGGAGGUAAAUUUCUUCUAAAGCUAAAUACUGGCCAGAGACCGAUAGCGCACAAGUAGAGUGAUCGAAAGAUGAAAAGCACUUUGGAAAGAGAGUCAAAUAGCACGUGAAAUUGUUGAAAGGGAAGCGCUUGCAGCCAGACUUGCCUGUAGUUGCUUAUCCGGACUCUUGUCCGGUGCACUCUUCUAUAGGCAGGCCAGCAUCAGUUUGGGCGGUUGGAUAAAGGUCUCUGUCACGUACCUCUCUUCGGGGAGGCCUUAUAGGGGAGACGACAUGCAACCAGCCUGGACUGAGGUCCGCGCAUCUGCUAGGAUGCUGGCGUAAUGGCUGUAAGCGGCCCGUCUUGAAACACGGACCAAGGAGUCUAACAUCUAUGCGAGUGUUUGGGUGUCAAGCCCAGACGCGUAAUGAAAGUGAACGGAGGUGGGAACCCUUUGGGUGCACCAUCGACCGAUCCUGAUGUCUUCGGAUGGAUUUGAGUAAGAGCAUGGCUGUUGGGACCCGAAAGAUGGUGAACUAUGCUUGAAUAGGGUGAAGCCAGAGGAAACUCUGGUGGAGGCUCGCAGCGGUUCUGACGUGC
rnacentral:rRNA from 1 species